rnacentral:rRNA from 1 species
GAUGAACGCUGGCGGCGUGCUUAACACAUGCAAGUCGAACGGAAAGGCCCAAGCUUGCUUGGGUACUCGAGUGGCGAACGGGUGAGUAACACGUGGGUGAUCUGCCCUGCACUUCGGGAUAAGCCUGGGAAACUGGGUCUAAUACCGGAUAGGACCACAUUUUGGAUGGUGUGGUGGAAAGUUUUUCGGUGUGGGAUGAGCUCGCGGCCUAUCAGCUUGUUGGUGGGGUAAUGGCCUACCAAGGCGUCGACGGGUAGCCGGCCUGAGAGGGUGUACGGCCACAUUGGGACUGAGAUACGGCCCAGACUCCUACGGGAGGCAGCAGUGGGGAAUAUUGCACAAUGGGCGCAAGCCUGAUGCAGCGACGCCGCGUGGGGGAUGACGGCCUUCGGGUUGUAAACUCCUUUCGCUAGGGACGAAGCGCAAGUGACGGUACCUGGAGAAGAAGCACCGGCUAACCACGUG